CACCGAGGCUUGUAGUCCAGCGGUGGCAGAGGGUUUCCUUUGCCUCUGCAUCCUGGGUUCAAGCCUCAGCGUGUACGCCUGUCAUUUCCGCGGUGCCUUACAUGUUUACUGGGUUUGCAGGAUGUUCAGUGAGCCGUGAGAUUAGUUGUGGUGCGUACAAGCUGGCUCGGACAUCCAUAUAAAUUAAAAAAAAAAUACAAGUUGGCUUGGUGUCAAUGCUUUUUAGCACUGUAUAAGCUAGUCAGUGAAAGAAGUAAAGUGCCUGAAUUGUAAGGCGAUCAGUCGAUAGAUGAUUCACACCCUACCUGUGAUUUUAAUUAUUCCUCUCAGGU
rnacentral:lncRNA from 1 species